rnacentral:rRNA from 1 species
AAAAACAUCGCUCCUAGAUAACUAAUUAAGGGGUCCUGCCUGCCCAGUGAUCUGAGGAUUAAACGGCUGCGGUACUCUGACCGUACAAAGGUAGCAUAAUCAUUUGCCUGUUAAUUCCAGGCUGGAAUCAACGGCUAGACGAAGGGGAUACUGUCUUUCUCUAUAAAAUUAGAAAUUAGUUUUUUGGUGAAGAAACCAAAAUAAUAAAGUGGGACGAGAAGACCCUAUUGAGCUUUAGUUUUAUAUAAUAAUCGUUUAUUAUAAAAUCUUUAGUUGGGGCAACUGAUUUUACACUAAAACAAAAUCAAAAAAAAGAAUUGAGUCUACUAUUUUGACCCAUAAAAAUUGUGGUAAUUAGAAAAAGUUACCAUAGGGAUAACAGCGUAAUUUUCUUUGAGAGUACAUAUUGACAAGGAAGUUUGCGACCUCGAUGUUGGAUCAAGAUAUCCUGGAGGUGCAGCCGCUUCCAAGGGUGGGUUUGUUCAACCCCUAAAAUCUUACGUGAUCUGA